UGGGGAAUUUUGGACAAUGGGCGAAAGCCUGAUCCAGCCAUGCCGCGUGUGUGAAGAAGGUCUUCGGAUUGUAAAGCACUUUAAGUUGGGAGGAAGGGCAGUAAGCGAAUACCUUGCUGUUUUGACGUUACCGACAGAAUAAGCACCGGCUAACUCUGUGCCAGCAGCCGCGGUAAUACAGAGGGUGCAAGCGUUAAUCGGAAUUACUGGGCGUAAAGCGCGCGUAGGUGGUUCGUUAAGUUGAAUGUGAAAGCCCCGGGCUCAACCUGGGAACUGCAUCCAAAACUGGCGAGAUAGAGUAGGGCAGAGGGUGGUGGAAUUUCCUGUGUAGCGGUGAAAUGCGUAGAUAUAGGAAGGAACACCAGUGGCGAAGGCGACCACCUGGGCUCAUACUGACACUGAGGUGCGAAAGCGUGGGGAGCAAAAAGG
rnacentral:rRNA from 1 species